rnacentral:rRNA from 1 species
GACGAACGCUGGCGGCGUGCCUAAUACAUGCAAGUAGAACGCACAGUUUAUACCGUAGCUUGCUACACCAUAGACUGUGAGUUGCGAACGGGUGAGUAACGCGUAGGUAACCUGCCUGGUAGCGGGGGAUAACUAUUGGUAACGAUAGCUAAUACCGCAUAAUAUUGAUUAUUGCAUGGUAAUUAAUUGAAAGGUGCAAUGGCACCACUACCAGAUGGACCUGCGUUGUAUUAGCUAGUAGGUGAGGUAACGGCUCACCUAGGCGACGAUACAGAGCCGACCGGCGAGGGUGGUCGGCCACACUGGGACGGAGACACGGCCCAGACGCCUACGGGAGGCAGCAGUAGUGAAACUUCGGCAAUGGGUGAAAGUCUGACCGAGCAACGCCGCGUGAGGGAAGAAGGUUUUCGGGUCGUAAAGCACUGUUGUAAGGGAAGAACGGGUGUGAGAGUGGAAAGUUCACACUGUGACGGUAUCUUACCAGAAAGCGACGGCUAACUACGUG